rnacentral:sRNA from 1 species
CCUGAAAUGUUCUUCUAGUAGGACAACCAGAGUUU